rnacentral:rRNA from 1 species
GAUGAACGCUGGCGGCUUUCCUAAUACAUGCAAGUCGAGCGAACGGACGAGAAGCUUGCUUCUCUGAUGUUAGCGGCGGACGGGUGAGUAACACGUGGAUAACCUACCUAUAAGACUGGGAUAACUUCGGGAAACCGGAGCUAAUACCGGAUAAUAUUUUGAACCGCAUGGUUCAAAAGUGAAAGACGGUCUUGCUGUCACUUAUAGAUGGAUCCGCGCUGCAUUAGCUAGUUGGUAAGGUAACGGCUUACCAAGGCAACGAUGCAUAGCCGACCUGAGAGGGUGAUCGGCCACACUGGAACUGAGACACGGUCCAGACUCCUACGGGAGGCAGCAGUAGGGAAUCUUCCGCAAUGGGCGAAAGCCUGACGGAGCAACGCCGCGUGAGUGAUGAAGGUCUUCGGAUCGUAAAACUCUGUUAUUAGGGAAGAACAUAUGUGUAAGUAACUGUGCACAUCUUGACGGUACCUAAUCAGAAAGCCACGGCUAACUACGUG